AACGUAGGACGCAAGCGUUAUCCGGAAUUACUGGGCGUAAAGCGCGUGUAGGUGGUUUUAUAAGUCACUGUUGAAAGCUCCCGGCUAAACUGGGAGAGGUGCGGUGAGACUGUAGAGCUAGAGUUUGGGAGAGGGGUGCGGAAUUCCGGGUGUAGUGGUGAAAUGCGUAGAGAUCGGAAAGAACACCAACGGCGAAAGCACUCUGCUGGGCCGACACUGACACUGAGAGACGAAAGCUAGGGGAGCGAAUGGG
rnacentral:rRNA from 1 species